GCAAGUCGAACGAGAACUGUCCUAGUUUACUAGGGCGUAAGCUAAGUGGCGCACGGGUGAGUAAUGCAUAGUUAAUCUGCCUCUUAGAGAGGGAUAACAGUUGGAAACGACUGCUAAUACCUCAUACUCCUUUAUGACAUAAGUUGUAAAGGGAAAUGAGUUUUGCUAAGAGAUGAGACUAUGUCCUAUCAGCUAGUUGGUGAGGUAAGAGCUCACCAAGGCUAUGACGGGUAACUGGUUUGAGAGGAUGAUC
rnacentral:rRNA from 1 species